AGAUGCUCCCAUCCCAUUUCCUUCAUCAAUUGAAUAUUUGCUGUUAUUAUUGGCACAAUUUUCCACCAAAGAGCCCCUUAACUCAUAAAAGCACAGAGCAAAAAUGAGCAAAGAGUAAGGUUGAGAAAGAUGUUAUAGUCCAAGGAGGAAGGGGGCUGGGGGCAGUGGCUGCGGUGUCAUGAACAACAAAAGACAACAGAUCGAGGAGUAAGGAUGGGAGAGUGCCGCAAGGGAGAGAGAGGAAGAAUGGGGGCAUUUGUUGU
rnacentral:misc_RNA from 1 species